rnacentral:rRNA from 1 species
AGUGAACGCUGGCGGCAGGCCUAACACAUGCAAGUCGAACGGCAGCACAGUAAGAGCUUGCUCUUACGGGUGGCGAGUGGCGGACGGGUGAGGAAUACAUCGGAAUCUACUUUUUCGUGGGGGAUAACGUAGGGAAACUUACGCUAAUACCGCAUACGACCUACGGGUGAAAGCAGGGGAUCUUCGGACCUUGCGCGAUUGAAUGAGCCGAUGUCGGAUUAGCUAGUUGGCGGGGUAAAGGCCCACCAAGGCGACGAUCCGUAGCUGGUCUGAGAGGAUGAUCAGCCACACUGGAACUGAGACACGGUCCAGACUCCUACGGGAGGCAGCAGUGGGGAAUAUUGGACAAUGGGCGCAAGCCUGAUCCAGCCAUACCGCGUGGGUGAAGAAGGCCUUCGGGUUGUAAAGCCCUCUUGUUGGGAAAGAAAAGCAGCAGGUUAAUACCCCGCUGUUCUGACGGUACCCAAAGAAUAAGCACCGGCUAACUUCGUG